AAUUCGCGUUAGGGAUUGCAGCGACAUCCUUUUGUUUUUAUUUUUAAAGUUUAGUUGAGACUAAAAACAAAAGAUAUAGUGGAAAGCCCGACAGUUU
rnacentral:sRNA from 1 species